rnacentral:rRNA from 1 species
GACGAACGCUGGCGGCGUGCUUAACACAUGCAAGUCGAACGGUGAAGCGCCUUCCUUUUUGGUGGGUGUGGAUGAGUGGCGAACGGGUGAGUAACAUGUGAGUAACCUGCCCCCUUCUUCUGGAUAACCGCAUGAAAGUGUGGCUAAUACGGGAUAUUCUGGGUCUGUCGCAUGAUGGGUCUGGGAAAGAUAUUGUUUCGGUGGGGGAUGGGCUCGCGGCCUAUCAGCUUGUUGGGGGGGUGAUGGCCUACCAAGGCGGUGACGGGUAGCCGGCCUGAGAGGGUGGACGGUCACACUGGGACUGAGACACGGCCCAGACUCAUACGGGAGGCAGCAGUGGGGAAUAUUGAACAGUGGGGGAAAGCCUGAUGCAGCGACGCCGCGUGAGGGAUGGAGGCCUUCGGGUUGUGAACCUCUUUCGCUAGUGAAGCAGGCCUGCCUCGUUUGUGGGUGGGUUGACGGUAGCUGGAUAAGAAGCGCCGGCUAACUACGUG